rnacentral:rRNA from 1 species
GACGAACGCUGGCGGCGUGCUUAACACAUGCAAGUCGAACGGAAAGGCCCUGCUUGCAGGGUACUCGAGUGGCGAACGGGGGAGUAACACGUGGGUGAUCUGCCCUGCACUUCGGGAUAAGCCUGGGAAACUGGGUCUAAUACCGGGUAGGAGCCAUUUUGAGUGUGGGGGGUGGAAAGUUUUUUCGGUGGAGGGUGAGCUCGCGGCCUAUCAGCUUGUUGGUGGGGUGAUGGACUACCAAGGCGGCGACGGGUGGGCGGCCUGAGAGGGUGGACGGCCACAUUUGGACUGAGAUACGGCCCAGACUCCUACGGGAGGCAGCGGUGGGGAAUAUUGCACAAUGGGCGCAAGCCUGAUGCAACGACGCCGCGUGGGGGAUGACGGCCUUCGGGUUGUAAACUCCUUUCGCUAGGGACGAAGCUUUUUGUGACGGUACCUAGAUAAGAAGCACCGGCUAACUACGUG